AGGCCAGGGAUUGAACCUGCAUCCUCAUGGAUAUUAGUCAGAAAAGGAAACUAAGGCUUGGAGAGGUUAAAGUCACAGAUGCAGUAAGUGGCAGACCCAGGAUUGAAAAUGAGGUCCAGCCAUCAAAAAGAAAGAAAGAAAGGAA